GCACUAAUGGUCUAGUGGUUACGAUUCGAUCCUCCCAUCACUUGAUGAGACCAGAUCGAGGCCCGUGUUCGAAUCACGGUUAGUGCA